GAUAAAUGUUUGACAAAUGUGCUCCGGCUUCUUUGCUUCUUUGUUUUCUUUUUUUUUCUGGCCUCUUGCUUUUUGGGUUUAUUGGAUUUUUUAUUUUGGUUGGUUUUAUUGCAAACUCUCACUCCAUAGCCCAGUUCGGUCUAGAGCUCGCCACAUUGCCCCUGAGGGCCUCGAACACGCCUAGUCUACUAGUCUAGGCUUUUUGUUUUUUCAUUGCAUCAUUCAUUUGUAGUGGGAAACGAAAAGGAAUUAGGCUCUAUUAUUACUUUAAAACAUUAAAUGACGUCCACAGGAUGUUUAUAGCAUAUUUCAUUAUUUUCUAAACUCUGAGAUAAUGUACCACGCUAUGAAAUCUCUGAAUUUUUCCUCCUUUGGUAAGUCCUCAUUCACGCCAUGGGGAAACUUACUUUGUGAGAGACAUUAGCUGGAGAGUCAUCUGCAUCUUACUCCGGUCUCAGGCAGUUUGGUAUUCUGCCAAGCACAUCCAUUGGGAAGCCGAGCCCUCUUAAAAACUUCCUAGAAGAUUUGUGUUUGCAAGACUGUUAGGAAGAAAAUGCAGGUGAGAACAUCUGCAAUGUGCUAUUUGCUAUUCAGUUCCUUUUGCUGUUGCAGUGUGCUAGACAUGUCUAAGUGCUGAGGAUUAAACUGAAGACCUCAUCAUGUAUGCCUGGCAAGCAUUAUAUUCCCAGCCCUAAAUUAUCAAUCAAGUUAAAGAGUAAAUUUAUGUAAAAUUAGGUCUGUUCUAGAAAUUUGAGGUCUAGCCAAGGAAAAUUAGGUUUACUCUAGAACUUUUGUCUACACUCCAACUUCAUAAACCACAGUUGUUCGUUUUAUUUUUUUUUAAAGAUAUAUUUAUCGCCGGGUGUUGGUGGCGCAUACCUUUAAUCCCAGCACUCGGGGGGCUGAGUUCGAGUCCAGCCUGAUCUAC